rnacentral:rRNA from 1 species
GACGAACGCUGGCGGCGUGCCUAAUACAUGCAAGUUGAGCGAUGAAGCUUGGUGCUUGCACCGAUUUGAAGUGCAGCGAACGGGUGAGUAACGCGUGUGGACUCUGCCUUUCAUCGGGGGACCACAUUUGGAAACGAAUGCUAAUACCGCAUAACAUCUUUCAACAUAAGUUUUAAGGUUGAAAGAUGCCAUUUCAUCACUCAAACAUGAUCCCUCGUUGUAUUAGCUAGUUGGUGAGGUAAAGGCUCACCAAGGCGAGGCUACGUAGCCGACCUGAGAGGGUGAGUGGCCACAUUGGGAGGGAGACCGGGCCCAAACGCCUAGGGGAGGGAGCAGGAGGGAAACUUGGGGAAGGGGCGAAAGUCUGAGCGAGAAACGCCGCGUGAGGGAAGAAGGUUGUCGGGUCGUAAAACUCGGUUGGUAGGGAAGAAAGUUGGUGAGAGUGGAAAGAUCAUUAAGUGACGGUAACUACUAAGAAAGCGACGGCUAACUACGUG